CCAAUAGCGUAUAUUAAAGUUGUUGCAGUUAAAAAGCUCGUAGUUGAAUUUCGGGAUCAGCGCGUCGGUCGUGCCUCCGGUAUGCACUGGCGCCGCUGGUUUCUCCCCUCUGAGGAACCGUGAUGUCAUUAAUUUGGUGUCGCGGGAAAUCAGGACUGUUACUUUGAAAAAAUUAGAGUGUUUAAAGCGGGCACGCGCUUGAAUACAUUAGCAUGGAAUAACGAAAUAGGACGUUCGAUCUUAUUUUGUUGGUUUCUAGGAUUGACGUAAUGAUUAAUAGGGAUAGUUGGGGGCAUUAGUAUUCAAUUGUCAGAGGUGAAAUUCUUGGAUUUAUUGAAGACUAACUACUGCGAAAGCAUUUGCCAAGGAUGUUUUCAUUAAUCAAGAACGAAAGUUAGGGGAUCGAAGACGAUCAGAUACCGUCGUAGUCUUAACCAUAAACUAUGCCGACUAGGGAUCGGAUGAUGUUAAUUUUAUAAUGACUCAUUCGGCGCCUUACGG
rnacentral:rRNA from 1 species